AUGACAAAGGAAAGUUCAUUGUUGGCGGGAAUCGGAAGAUUGAUUGGUGUGUUGAUCGUUCUGACAGCAAAAGUUCUGGCUCUUAGAUCUGGCUUAUCUCUUGCACAAAAGGUAGGAUGCAAUCAAAUUGUUAUCAAUUCGGAUGACAUGGAAGUCAUUGAUACAAUGAAGAAUGAAGGAAGGUCUGCGGGAGUGGCAGCGGCAAUUUUGGAUGAUUGUUAUUUUCUGGCUUGCGAUUUUUCUCUUGCUAGCUUUGAACAUUGUAAUAGGAAGGCAAAUAAGGUUGCUCAUGAACUUGCUAGGUUAGCAAAAUUAUCAGCUAGUAGAGACUAGAUGGAGAAGCCUCUCGAUGAGAUUGUACCUUUAAUUAUAGAGGAUGUAACUGUUAUUUCCAAUUAA
rnacentral:rRNA from 1 species